ACGUAGGGGGCCAGCGUUGCUCGGAAUUACUGGGCGUAAAGGGUCCGUAGGCGGUGUGGCAAGUCGGGAGUGAAAUCUCUGGGCUUAACCCAGAGGCUGCUUCCGAAACUGCCAUGCUAGAGUGUGAGAGAGGCGAGUGGAAUUACGGGUGUAGCGGUGAAAUGCGUAGAUAUCCGUAGGAACAUCCGAGGCGAAGGCGGCUCGCUGGAUCACAACUGACGCUGAGGGACGAAAGCUAGGGGAGCAAACAGG
rnacentral:rRNA from 1 species